AGUGAACGCUGGCGGUAGGCCUAACACAUGCAAGUCGAACGGCAGCACAGAGGAGCUUGCUCCUUGGGUGGCGAGUGGCGGACGGGUGAGGAAUACAUCGGAAUCUACUUUUUCGUGGGGGAUAACGUAGGGAAACUUACGCUAAUACCGCAUACGACCUACGGGUGAAAGCAGGGGAUCUUCGGACCUUGCGCGAUUGAAUGAGCCGAUGUCGGAUUAGCUAGUUGGCGGGUAAAGGCCCACCAAGGCGACGAUCCGUAGCUGGUCUGAGAGGAUGAUCAGCAACACUGGAACUGAGACACGGUCCAGACUCCUACGGGAGGCAGCAGUGGGGAAUAUUGGACAAUGGGCGCAAGCCUGAUCCAGCCAUACCGCGUGGGUGAAGAAGGCCUUCGGGUUGUAAAGCCCUUUUGUUGGGAAAGAAAUCCAGCCGGCUAAUACCUGGUUGGGAUGACGGUACCCAAAGAAUAUGCACCGGCUAACUUCGUGCCAGCAGCCGCCGUAAGAC
rnacentral:rRNA from 1 species